rnacentral:rRNA from 1 species
ACGAACGCUGGCGGCGUGCUUCACUCAUGCCAGUCGAACGGAAAGGCCCUGCUUUUGUGGGGUGCUCGAGUGGCGACCGGGUGAGUAACACGUGAGUAACCUGCCCUUGACUUUGGGAUAACUUCAGGAAACUGGGGCUAAUACCGGAUAGGAGCUCCUGCUGCCUGGUGGGGGUUGGAAAGUUUCGGCGGUUGGGGAUGGACUCGCGGCUUAUCAGCUUGUUGGUGGGGUAGUGGCUUACCAAGGCUUUGCCGGGUAGCCGGCCUGAGAGGGUGACCGGCGACAUGGGGACUGAGAUACGGCCCAGACGCCAACGGGAGGCAGCGGUGGGGAAUAUUGCACAAUGGGCGGAAGCCUGAUGCAGCAACGCCGCGUGCGGGAUGACGGCCUUCGAGUUGUAAACCGCUUUCGCCGGUGACGAAGCGUGAGUGACGGUAAUGGGUAAAGAAGCACCGGCUAACUACGUG